GUUGUCACCAUGGUGUGGUAUCUUCAUGGUGGUUUAUAGGGUUCAUUCAUUCUUUCUUCAAUGACAAAGGUAAGUUCUUUGUGUUCUUGUAGAUUGAGUCACACGGCUAUCUUCUGGCUGAAAAGAGAACUGUGAACAUAGGCACACACCUGACACCUGGUGUGUUCAGCAGACACUGUAUGACAGUCUUUGUUUAUAUGAAGAGAAUGGGGUCAUGUUGACACGUUUUAGGAUCCACGUGAGCUGUUGGAUAAUGUCAUACACUUUUUCGACAGUUUGACAGCUGGAGCCUUUUGAUGUUGAGUAUCCCAUGCUCUAACAAUCUAACCUUGAGGUGAUGGUGGAAGACCAUAGGUUUCUUCAUUCUCUCUGAACUAUAAUUCAUCCUCCUUAUUCAUACAUGCUACACUAAAUAUAAUACUUGCUAUAUAUAGUCUACCACAGUAUGAGUCAUAAUACCCAAUAAACUUAGCGGUCAAACAGAAAUUCAUUCAUUCAUUUUAUCCAUCGUGGAUUUUGGAAACACUUCAAAUAAGAGUUGUGUUUCGUGUAGGCUUAUCUUGGCGUGAAGUUUUGAUAACCAUGUAAAUCUCUCUCGGACAAGGUGACUUUUAUCAGUAUAUUCACCUCUAUUUACCCCUCAAAAAUGUAAUGCUAAUUAGCUGCUAAUGUGGCUAUCAUACAGAAUUACAAAUGCCUGUCUCAAGCUUCACGUCACUCACCAGGGCCAUGAUGAUCUGGACAAGACUGCCGAAUCGAGGCAAAGAACCAAUGGGUGUGCCUGAGUCUUAUCACCUCUCAACUAGGUUAGCUGUUUCAACCUGGAACAGUAUUCCAGGUUUAUAUAUAGCGCAUGCUCCACUCUCAAGUUGAAGUUGAACUUGUUGACUGAUGCCAUGGCGGCUUCUGCUAAAAAGAAGGGAGCAGCUGCGAACCAGAAGACUGCAUCCAGGGCAGCCCUGGUCCACACCUGCCCUGUUUGUCAGAGGCAGACCAGAAGACAUUCAAGCAGCACUUUGAGAGCAAGCAUUCCAAGUCUCCAAUGGCCCCAGUACUGGUUGAUGUGCAGGCCUAUGUAACCACACACACUCAAAUGGACCUACAGCUGGGACACACGAUGACCAGGAUUUGAGUGCUGCAACUGAAACGGAAUGACGUCAAGGGACACGCUGAGACCCUGAGUAUGACAGGACAUGGGGCAGAUAUUUGUGACAACGAUUUAAAAGGGCUGCAGGCACACUAGCACCCCAUUGGUAUCUUUAUUCCAUGACCAAUCUUCUCUCUAGCUACCCCUUAUUCCACACUAUGCCUUUUAUGCCCCAUGGUCCCUCAACUUUGGACACUUUGGAACUUUCCAUCUUAUCUCUAUAAACGCAGCCUACCUUCACCCAUUUUCCCUAUGCUGCUUUCUUCACUUGUUGUUCGUCUGAUUUGAUAACAUCUAGACUCAGUAACAUGUUUAAAAGUUUUGUGGUGUACUGUUUUGCUACCAUUUUCUCCUGUGUAGUGCUGUCCUCCUGCUUUUCUGGGGUUCAGACUGAAUGCAGUGGUAAAUGUGCUGCUCACAAAUGACAGCAGCAACAUGGACCUGUUCAAUUGACAAGAAGGGUGUUGAUAUUGCUGUGUUUAAAGAUGGCUUCCUUAUUUUGAGUCUGUUAAUGGUGUUUCUCCUUCUGCUGGAGUUGAUCUAGUAUUUUCUAUAAAACCUACCUUAGGCAUUACAUUUGUCCAUUUGUAACUCACCCAUCACAAUCACAAUAUGCUGCUUUAUAUUUUGUGCUGGUGUCAGCUAGAGAUGACGUGCAGGAGUUUGCAGGGAUUUGUAGUCUUGUAUGAUGUCGACUUUUAUGCUAAUUAGCUUUUUCGAAUCUGAGAGUAAAUAGAGCUGAAUAUAUUGAUGAAAGUCACCUUGUCCGAGAGAGAUUUACAUGGUUAUCAAAACAUCACUCCAGGGUACGUCUACACGAAACACAACCCUUAUUUGAAGUGUUUCUCAAAUCCACAAUGGAUAAAAUGAAUGGUGGAAAAACAACUGGAACCAUUUCCAUGUUUGACCGCUAAGUUUUAUGGGUAUUAUGACGCAUCCACUGUGGGGCUCAAUUGUCUGUUCACCAAGAGGAGAUAUCUUUAUAUUCCAUGUCUGCCAUCUAGUGGUAAUGGAGGUUUUGUUCUCACUCGAAUACUGUAUGAUUUGGUGAUGUAUUCAUACACAUAUUUACUCUACUUUGUUAAUGUGUUUCAUCUAACCUCAUGACCAAAAACAGACAUUGCUCUUAAUGUCAUAACCCUCUGAAGUCUUCAGUGGUGUUAUGUGGACUGUGUCCAUGUGCAUCCCAUAGGAAGUGCACCCCUAUUGAUAAAACUAACCUAAAUGUAUGGCUGUAUUGGACAUGUGAGGCAUGCACUUCUAUGUUUCCGUUCCACUCUCUGGAUGAUCUGGAUGAUUCCGACUGUGUAUCUCUCUUAGUUGGGCAGGAUAUCAACCCUGAUAAACAUGGUCUUUAACCCAUUAGAUAUUAAUGAAGCCAAAAAUAAAUAGAAUGAUUGGGUUGAUCCUGACAAAAAUGCCCUGAAGAUUACCAGAAGUAAGUCUAUGACUUGUGGUUACUAUAAUGUUAAGCAAUUUAACAACCUGUAAAGAGGACACGUGAUUCUGACAUUAGUAGUUUGUUUCAUUGAUAUCCUUGUGUCAACCUUGGAUUUGAUUAAUAUUGAAGAUAAAUGUGUAUAUUAGGUGAUUACAACAUUAAUGUAUUUAAAAGUGAGAACCACUCACUGCAUCUGAUUUCAGCCAUCUGUAUCCCCUCAUCUAUGAUCCCACAAGAGUGACCAGUUCAUUUUCAUUUUUAUUGAUCAUAUUUUUACAAAUUAUUUGAAUAAUGUGGCUAAUACAGGUAUACUUUAUACUGACAUUUCUGACCACUUUCCAAUUUUACACUUCUCUUUGGCAGCUGGACAUGAACAGACGGGAAUGAUUAAUGACGUUAAAUGUAAAAUAUUUAACAAAAGUAAUUGUGAGCGUUUUAAGAUGUUGAUUGAUGAUAUUUCAUGUUUAUAAUCAGGCCGAUGUAGAAUCUGCUUACCUGACUUUUCUCACAUCUUUCAACUCUGUAUUUCACCACUGCUUUCCCUUAGUUAAACCAUGUAAGAUAGCAGCAGAGGGGUUCUGGAAACCUUGGUUUACAACCAGUCUAAAAAAAAUACUCAGUAAAAAAAACAAGUUGUAUAAAAAGUUUCUCCUGAAUUCUGCAAAUUACAAAAAAUAUAAGAACAAAUUUCCUCACCUACUUCGGAUGUCCCCCAAAAUAUAUUUUACUAACAAAUUCCAAGAAUCCUUAAAUAAUAUAAAGUCAUCUUGGAAAAUCAUCAAUCAACUGUUGAAUAAGAAAAAUGCAUCUACAGCUAUCCCAUCUUAAUUUAUUGUUGGAAAUAAGAUCUAUAGUGAUCCUGAUGUUACUUCAUGUGAAGUGAAUAACAUUUUGUGAAUGUGGGUUCAUCUCUGUCAAAGAAAUUGAAAAAACUGAUGAAAAUUCCUUGGAUUACAUUAAGGGACAUAUCCCUUCUCUGCUUCAGUUUGAUCCUCCUGAUGUAAUGGAGGUAAUUGGUAACUUAAAGAUAUCAGCAGCAGGUCAUGACGAGAUUGGUGCCUCUGGUGAAAUCAGUGUCUUCCUUGAUUACUGAACCUCAAAAGUAUAUCUUCACCAAAUCUGGUAUUGUUCCUAAAGAUGAGAAAAUUGCCAAAGUUAUCUCCCGCUAUAAAUCUGAAGAUUCAAUAACUUUUACAAAUUAUCGCCCAAUAUCUGGACUACCAUGUUUUUUUAAAUCCUAGAAAAAUUGGUAUAUAAGAGAAUGUUCAAAUAUUUAAUUCAACACUGUAUUGAGCACCAAUAUGGUUUUUGUAAAAACUACUCCACAGAUAUGGCCCUUUUGCAACUUGUGGAUAAAAUCUGUACAGCCCAUAACAACAAUGGAUACGCUCUUGACAUUUAGAUCUAUCCAAAUGGUUUGACACGGUUGAUCAUGAAAUAUGACUUUCUAAAUUGCAUUAUUACGUUUUUCAUGAGUACCCAGUACCUGUCAAAAGUUUGGAAACACCUACUCAUUCAAGGGUUUUUCUUUAUUUUUACUAUUUUCUACAUUGUAGAAUAAUAGUGAAGACAUCAACACUAUGAAAUAACACAUGGAAUCAUGUAGUAACCAAAAAAGUGUUAAACAAAUAAAAAAAUAUUUUAUAUUUGAGAUUCUUCAAAGUAGCCACCCUUUAUCUUGAUGACAGCUUUGCACACUCGUGGCAUUCUCUCUGCCUUCUCCCAUAUCCACAGAUAUCCUCUCUGGAGAUCGUAGAACCUUCCAGAAGAACAACCAUCUCUGCAGCACUCUACCAAUCAGGCCUUUAUGGUAGAGUGGCCAAACGAAAGCCAGUCCGCUUAAAGUUUGCCAAAAGGCACCUAAAGGACUCACAGACCAUGAGAAACAAGAUUCUCUGGUCUGAUUGAACUCUUUGGCUUGAAUGCCAAACAUCACGUCUGGAGGAAACCUGGCACCAUCCCUACGGUGAAACAUCGUGGUGGCAGCAUCAUGCUGUGGGGAUGUUUUUCAGCGGCAGGGAUUGGGAGACUAGUCAGGAUAGAGGGAAAGAUGAACGGAGCAAAGUACAUAGAGAUCCUUGAUGAAAACCUGCUCCAGAGCGCUCAGGACCUCAGACUGGGGGUGAAGGUUCACCUUCAAACAGGACAACAACAUUAAGUACACAGCCAAGACAACACAGGAGUGGCUUCGGGACAAGUCUCUGAAUGUCCUUGAGGUGCCCAGCCAGAGCCCGGACCCAAUCAAACAUCUCUGGAGAUACCUGAAAAUAGCUGUGCAGCAACUCUCCCCAUUCAACCCCACAGAGCUUUCGAGGAUCUACAGAGAAGAAUGGAAGAAACUCCCCAAAUACAGGUGUGCCAAGCUUAUAGCGUCAUAUCCAAGAAGACUGGGCUGUAAUUGCUGCCAAAGGUGCUUCAACAAAGUACUGAGUAAAGGGUCUAAAUACUUAUGUAAAUGUGAUAUUUCAGUUUUAAUUUUUUAUACAUUAGCAAAAAUGUAUAGCGACCUGUUUUUGCUUUGGCAUUAUUGGGUAUUGUGUGUAGAUAUUUAAUGCAUUUAAGAAUAAGGCUGUAACGUAACAAAAUGUGGAAAAAGUCAAGGGGUCUGAAUAUUUUCCGAAUGCUUUGUAGUUAUGUUAAUGAUAGAGCACAAUUUGUUCAUACAAACGGCUGUGCAUCUUACAAACGGCUGUGCAUCUGUGGCGUACCACAGGGUUUGAUAAUUGGACCUUUGAUAUUCCUGAUCUACUGUAUAUCAAUGACCUAGCUACUGUGUCUUCUACCGUACCUCCCAUUGUCUUUGCUGACAAUACCAAUUUGAUUUUUCACACCAUAUUUCUAUUCACCAAUUAAUGAAGCCAACUCAGUCAUGAACACCUUUUCUGAAUGGUUCCAGGUAAACAAAUUAUCUUUAAAUGUAAAAAAAUCUACCUUUUUUGCAUUCACUCAUGAGAAUAAGAUAUUUUUAAAUAUUGUAUAAAAAAAAAAGAGCCAGAAUCUCAAUUGGUGGGAAUAAAAUUUAACAAUUCACAUCCACUAGAUUCCUCUGUUCUAGUUGACGAAAAGUUAUCCUUGAAAGAUCCUAUUCAAUUUGUCUGCAGCAAAGUGAUGCUGUUGUUAUCAUCAGAAAGAUUAGCGGUUUGGUUCAUCAGGCUUGCUUCCUAACUCUAUACUAUAGCUUAAUUUACCGAUAUCUCAUUUACUGUAGUAUUGCCUGGGCCAGUACAUAUGCCUCCUUCCUACACAAAUUACUCAUCAUACAAAAGACUAGCCACCUCUCUAAUUACCUGGCUCCAUCUGCACCUUUUGUUGAAGAAAGUCAAUAUCUUGUCUAUUUGUAAUGUUAAUGUAUGCCAAUUAUGCACUUUCAUCUACUUUCAUGUACAUAUACUCAUACUUCCCAGCCAGUUUACCUAAACCCUUCAAUUGAUUUUUCCAGGUUAAUUCUGAAAUCCAUCUAUUUGACACAAGACACUGCGAUAACCUUCAGCCUCCCCACUGGCGCACCUCACAUAGUCAAUUCUCUAACAGAUACAGAGGUACCAUACUCUGGGAUUCUUACCUUGCCAAAACCUCAUCAUCCCUCAAUAACUUCAAGCGAAGACUGGGGGUCAGCCUGGUGAACCAAACUACCCAAUAAUCCCCUACCAUGUAUCCUAUCUCUCUCUUUCUCACACACUCAAUCA